UUUUGAAAAACUGGUGUCAACGUUUAAAGUCAUUGACUUUUUUUUUAAAAAAAGUAUUUUUUGCUAUUUUAUAAAAAGUUAAACGAUGAAAGAUAUUGUUUUAAUAUUGUAUAUAUUUUUAUCUGUUUGUCGCUCUAUAUCUACAUUGAAAUGCAUUCAAUGUUCUGAGCAAAACUGUACAAUUCCUGUUGGAUGUAAAGGUGGUAUUGUCAAAGAUGCCUGCAACUGUUGUAAUGUCUGCGCUAAAAUUUCUGGAGAGGUGUGCGGAGGACCGUGGCAAAUAUUAGGAAAGUGCGGAAAUCAUCUCAAAUGUGUUGAGGAUUCAACAAAUAGCAAAGGAAUAUGCCGACCUAUAUGCAAAAUAAGUAGUGUGCGACAGUGCAAGAAUUAUUGCCCAUACGGAAAUGUAAUCGACGGAUACGGUUGUCCAACUUGUACCUGCAACAAUUUACCAACAUGCAGAUCAUUAGAAAAUAAAGUCUUACCUAUUUUUAAUUUAAAAUCAUGUCCAAUGAUUUUUAAAUGUUUAUUUGUAUGUGUGAACGGACCAGUAUACGAUCAAAACGGUUGUUCAAGAUGUUUAUGUCGCCGUAUACCAGCUUUAUGCGACAAAAAUGGAUGCUGUGAUCAGCCUACAAAAUUUUGCAACAACAACAAAAGAUGUUGCAUGCAUGAUUCAACCUGUUUUUCUAAACAUGGAUGGUACAGAAGUUGAUAUUGAACUUUUUUGAACUUUUCAUUUGUAAUAUAUUUGUUGAAUAAAGUAUAAAAAACAGUUUUAAAA